UACAGAGGAGCCAAGCGUUGUCCGGAUUGACUGGGCGUAAAGCGCACGCAGGCGGACGCGCGCGUGGGGUGUGAAAUCUGGCCGCUUAACGGCCAGGCGCCAUCCCAUACGGCGCGUCUGGAGCAAUGCAGAGGUCGGUGGAAUUGCCGGUGUAGCAGUGAAAUGCGUAGAGAUCGGGAGGAACACCAGUGGCGAAGGCGGCCUUCUGGACCAAUACUGACGCUCAUGCACGAAAGCGUGGGGAGCAAACAGG
rnacentral:rRNA from 1 species